rnacentral:rRNA from 1 species
GACGAGGGGUCCUAGCGUUGUUCGGAAUCAUUGGGCGUAAAGCGUGUGUAGGCGGCCAUUCAAGUCAGUUGUGAAAGCCCCGGGCUCAACCCGGGAAGUGCUUCUGAUACUGUAUGGCUUGAGUACUGGAGAGGAUAGUAGAAUUCCUGGUGUAGUGGUGAAAUACGUAGAUAUCAGGAGGAAUACCGGUGGCGAAGGCGGCUAUCUGGCCAUGUACUGACGCUGAGACACGAAAGCGUGGGGAGCAAACAGG